rnacentral:rRNA from 1 species
AUUGAACGCUGGCGGCAGGCCUAACACAUGCAAGUCGAACGAGUGGCGGACGGGUGAGUAAUGUCUGGGAAACUGCCUGAUGGAGGGGGAUAACUACUGGAAACGGUAGCUAAUACCGCAUACCAUCGGAUGUGCCCAGAUGGGCUUAGCUAGUAGGUGGGGUAAAGGCUCACCUAGGCGACGAUCCCUAGCUGGUCUGAGAGGAUGACAAGCACAACUGGAACGGGGAAACGGCCCAGCCUCUUACGGGAGGAAGCAGUGGGUAUUAUUGACAAAUGGGGGGAACCUUGAUGCGGCCAUGCGGGGGUUAUGAAGAAGGCCUUCGGGUUUUAAAGUACUUUCAGCGGGGAGGCGUUACCGGCAGAAGAAGCCCCGGCUAACUCCGUGCCAGCGGCCGCGUAAUUC